UACGGAGGGUGCAAGCGUUAUCCGGAUUCACUGGGUUUAAAGGGUGCGUAGGUGGGCAGGUAAGUCAGUGGUGAAAUCUCCGAGCUUAACUCGGAAACUGCCAUUGAUACUAUCUGUCUUGAAUACCGUGGAGGUGAGCGGAAUAUGUCAUGUAGCGGUGAAAUGCUUAGAUAUGACAUAGAACACCAAUUGCGAAGGCAGCUCACUACACGAAUAUUGACACUGAGGCACGAAAGCGUGGGGAUCAAACAGG
rnacentral:rRNA from 1 species